UGGGUAUGUUGUUGAGAAAGUUUGAGAGCCAAAAAAAACAUCUGUGCUUUGUCCAUCGUACCAUAUUUUUUAAUCGGAUAUCUCCAAGAGAUAACUAUCUUUUGCAGUAACGGUGAGAUAAGGAAUAACUUCCCACUCUUACUUAAAUAUUUGAGAGUUAUUUACGGUGGAAUAAGAAACAACUUCCCAUUUUUACUCAAAAUA
rnacentral:lncRNA from 1 species